rnacentral:lncRNA from 1 species
GUGCACUUCGCUUGGAGCAGUUGGUUUUUGAGAUCCGACUUUUUUAACAUUGUGGUGUCAGAACUUACACCGAAAGAUACUUAACAGAUUAGGAGAACUCACAUUCCUUUCUUCCUUUAACAAAGUAUGGGACUCGUUGCAUACAGAAGCCGUGCUAAUUGGGACAUCCCCCCCCCCCAAGUCUGUCAGUUUUACGUUUCGGCAAGUCCUUAAUCCAUCCAAAUGCCACAUUUAAGGACCAAGUAUUUUUCUGCAGUGUCGGUUUCUAAUUUUCAGUUAUGUGGCAGUAGUCUCCCCAAGCACUUGAAAUGUAGCCCUUCGGAAAUAAUGUCAGUACUAUGCCACUUGUCCUAAGACGUACUCCUCUGAAGUCCCUCACUGCCUGCCAUACUCGAUAGGGAUAACCAGUAGGCUU